rnacentral:lncRNA from 1 species
CUUCUUAAGGAGUGGAGGAAAGUGGAUGUUUUCAAGAUAACGCAGCUAACAUUCAAAGAGGUUAAGUGAAUUGUCCAAAGUCACACAGCAAGCACUGGAGGUUCUUCAUUUGUGAACAAAUGACAUUUUAUGCUGAAGAUAGGCUUGCACCUGAGAGUCAACAACAGGGCCUUGUUAGAUCUGGGCUGUGCAAUGUUGUUAAGCUGUCCCAUGAUCCAGCAGAUUAGAGCAUUAGGGACACCCUGACACACUGAAGACUUGACAUCACUUCAGAUGAAAAUGCUAAGAUUGGUAGGUUUCUCCCUACCACAGGGAAAUUAGAAAUUAUGAAAUACAUUGCAAAGACACAAGCCACGUAACAUGGAAUGCUGGCUUGGAAAAAAAGGACCUGAGCUUAUGUUUAAUCCCACCCUUACCUCUGGGAACUGGGGCACAUUUCUGGGUUUUGAAUUUCUCUUCUGUAAAAAGAAGACCAAUGGCCAGUUCAGCCAUGGCCAGUUCAUCACUAAUAUCCCUUGAAACUCCGUGAAUAUAUUCUAUGAAUACAAGCCUUAGAGGCAGCCUCUUGCUGCAAAAAUGCAGCUACAAGUCUUUGAUUCUUCUGUGGGUGAGAUGAACACAG